rnacentral:rRNA from 1 species
AUACGAAGGGGGCUAGCGUUGUUCGGAAUCACUGGGCGUAAAGCGCGCGUAGGUGGAUCAAUUAGUUGAGGGUGAAAUCCCGGGGCUCAACCUCGGAACUGCCUUCAAUACUGUUGAUCUUGAGACCGAGAGAGGUGAGUGGAAUUCCUAGUGUAGAGGUGAAAUUCGUAGAUAUUAGGAAGAACACCAGUGGCGAAGGCGGCCCACUGGCUCGGUACUGACGCUGAGGUGCGAAAGCGUGGGGAGCAAACAGGAUUAGAAACCCUAGUAGUCC